rnacentral:rRNA from 1 species
GUAUGUUGACGUAUUCUGAAAGGGAGUACUUCUUCGGACAAUAUACAAGGUGCUGCAUGGUUGUCGUCAGCUCGUGCCGUGAGGUGUCGGGUUAAGUCCCAUAACGAGCGCAACCCCUAUCAUUAGUUGCCAUCAGGUCAAGCUGGGGACUCUAAUGAAACUGCCUACGCAAGUAGUGAGGAAGGUGGGGAUGACGUCAAAUCAGCACGGCCCUUACGUCCAGGGCUACACACGUGCUACAAUGGCCGGUACAAAGGGUUGCGAAGCCGUGAGGUGGAGCGAAUCUCAAAAAGCCGGCCUCAGUUCGGAUUGGAGGCUGCAACUCGCCUCCAUGAAGUCGGAAUCGCUAGUAACCGCAGAUCAGCUACGUUGCGGUGAAUACGUUCCCGGGCCUU